rnacentral:rRNA from 1 species
AUUGAACGCUGGCGGCAGGCCUAACACAUGCAAGUCGAGCGGAGCGGCGGACGGGUGAGUAAUGCCUAGGAAUCUGCCUGGUAGUAGGGGAUAACGUCCGGAAACGGGCGCUAAUACCGCAUACUAUCAGAUGAGCCUAGGUCGGAGUAGCUAGUUGGUGGGGUAAAGGCCUACCAAGGCGACGAGCCGUAACUGGUCUGAGAGGAUGAUCAGUCACACUGGAACUGCGACACGGUCCAGACUCCUACGGGAGGCAGCAGUGGGGAAUAUUGGACAAUGGGCGAGAGCCUUAUCCAGCCAUGCCGCGUGUAUGAAGAAGCCCUUCGGGUUGUAAAGUACUUUCAGCGGGGAGGCGUUACCAACAGAAUAAGCACCGGCUAACUUCGUGCCAGCAGCCGCGGUAAUAC